CUUCACCUCUUGAAUUUGGAGAGUUAUUUGAUAAAGGCUGGUUGAAUGAGUUCCCUAUGAGAGGCUACUUCAUCUGCAAGAAAACAGGCGGCCGCACCAGUUUCCUCAUAUGAAAUUAAAAGUAAGUGUGUAGCCUACGCAGUUACACAAUGGAUGUUGAAACUGUGGUGCAAAUUUCUAGGCAACAUUAGAAGCCGGAUAAAUGUGUUGAUUUGAAGGAAAGACGGGCAGACUCUGGCUGGUUGAAUGAGUUCCCUAUGAGAGGCUACUUCAUCUGCAAGAGAACAGGCGGCCGCACCAGUUUCCUCAUAUGAAAUUAAAAGGGUCAGUGGUCUAAAAUGAGUCUCUCUGGGGAGAG